GAUGAAGAACGUAGCGAAAUGCGAUAAGUAAUGUGAAUUGCAGAAUUCAGUGAAUCAUCGAAUCUUUGAACGCACAUUGCGCCCAUUAGUAUUCUAGUGGGCAUGCCUGUUCGAGCGUCAUUUCAACCCUUAAGCCCCCGUUGCUUAGCGUUGGGAACCUACAGCGAUGUAGUUCCUUAAAGUUAGUGGCGGAGUCGGUUCACACUCUAGGCGUAGUAAAUUUUAUCUCGCCUCUGUAGUUGGACCGUCCCCCGCCGUAAAACACCCCAAUUUCUAAAGGUUGACCUCGGAUCAGGUAGGAAUACCCGCUGAACUUAAGCAUAUCAAUAAGAGGAGGA
rnacentral:misc_RNA from 1 species